GAUGAACGCUGGCGGCGUGCUUAACACAUGCAAGUCGAGCGAAGCGAUUUUAAGGAAGCCUUCGGGUGGAAUUAAAAUUGACUUAGCGGCGGACGGGUGAGUAACGCGUGGGUAACCUGCCUCAUACAGGGGGAUAACAGUUAGAAAUGACUGCUAAUACCGCAUAAGCGCACAGUGCUGCAUAGCACAGUGUGAAAAACUCCGGUGGUAUGAGAUGGACCCGCGUCUGAUUAGGUAGUUGGUGAGGUAACGGCCCACCAAGCCGACGAUCAGUAGCCGACCUGAGAGGGUGACCGGCCACAUUGGGACUGAGACACGGCCCAAACUCCUACGGGAGGCAGCAGUGGGGAAUAUUGGACAAUGGGGGAAACCUUGAUCCAGCGACGCCGCGUGACUGAAGAAGUAUUUCGGUAUGUAAAGGUCUAUCAGCAGGGAAGAAAAUGACGGUACCUGACUAAGAAGCCCCGGCUAACUACGUGCCAGCCGCCGCCGUAACAC
rnacentral:rRNA from 1 species